rnacentral:tRNA from 1 species
GCUAGGGUGGCAGAGUAAGUGCGUUAGGCUUAAGACUUAAAUAUGGAGUUGUUGUGAUUCCUCUUAGUA